rnacentral:rRNA from 1 species
UACAGAGGGUGCAAGCGUUGCUCGGAAUCAUUGGGCGUAAAGGGCACGUAGGUGGUCUCAUUUGUCUGAUGUGAAAGCCUUGGGCUUAACCCAAGAAGUGCGUCAGAAACGGUGAGACUCGAGUUCUGGAGAGGGUCGUGGAAUUCCCGGUGUAGCGGUGAAAUGCGUAGAUAUACGGAGGAACACCUGCGGCGAAGGCGGGUGGCUGGGCCAACACUGACGCUGAGGCGCGAAAGCUAGGGUAGCAAACGGG